rnacentral:rRNA from 1 species
GGACGAACGCUGGCGGCGUGGCUAAGACAUGCAAGUCGAACGGUAGGUUAUAGCAAUAUGGCCUAUAGUGGCGGACGGGUGAGUAAUAAAUAGGUAACGUACCCUGGGCACGGGGAUAGCGUCGUCCCGAGCAAUCGGGGCUUUGCGAAAGUGACGGUAAUACCCGGUAAUGUCCUCGAGUGGCAUCGCUUGAGGACCAGAGGUGGGGACCUUCGGGCCUAUCGGCCUGGGAGCGGCCUAUUUCCUACAGCUAGUUGUGAGGUAACGGCUCACCAAGGCUUCGACGGGUAACCGGACUGAGAGGUCGGCCGGUCACAUCGGGACUGAGACACUGCCCGGACAUCUACGGAUGGCUG